GAGCCCACUAUAUAUAGAGCAGAGCACAAGGUUGGCAGGCACAACGACAGUCACACAGUCAGCACAGGCCAACUCAUUUACAGGCAGCACAAGGAACUCACUGUUGGACUUGUAUGAAUACCGGUAAGCAGCAGAAGCCAGUGCUCACAGGCCAGAGGUUUAAGACCAGGAAAAGGGAUGAAAAGGAGAAGUUUGAACCAACUGUUUUUCGAGACACGAUUGUUUCGGGCCUCAAUGAAGCAGGCGGUGACCUGGAUGCUGUAGCCAAGUUUCUAGAUGUCACAGGGUCGCGACUGGACUACAGACGCUAUGCUGACACUCUGUUUGACAUCCUCAUUGCAGGGAGCAUGCUUGCUCCUGGGGGGACCCGUAUUGAUGAGGGCGACAAGACCAAGGUGACGGCAUACUGCGUGUUCACGACUGAGGAAAGCCAUGCCGCUUUACGUCUAUAUGCUCAGGUUUUCAACAAGCUCAUCAGGAGAUACAAAUACCUGGAGAAGGCCUUCGAGGAGGAGAUCAAAAAGCUACUGCUCUUCCUGAAGGCCUUCAGUGAGUCGGAGCAGACCAAGCUGGCCAUGCUGACAGGCAUCUUGCUGGCCAACAACGCUCUACCACCUCCCAUCAUCACCAGCCUCUUCACCGACAGUGUGGUCAAAGAAGGGACUUCUGCAUCAUUUGCUGUGAAGAUGUUCAAAGCAUGGAUCGCAGAGAAAGAUGCCAAUUCAGUAACCUCAUCUUUGAGGAAGGCAAACCUAGAUAAAAGACUUCUGGAGCUGUUUCCUGUUAACAAGCAGAAUGUGGAGCAUUUCUCUAAGUACUUCAAUGAAGCUGGGCUCAAGGAGCUGUCUGACUUCCUGCGCAUACAGCAGAGCCUGGGAACCCGCAAAGAGCUGCAGAAGGAACUACAGGAGCGCUUGUCCCAGCAGUGCCCCAUCAGAGAGAUGGUGGUGUAUGUGAAGGAGGAGAUGAAAAGGAACCAUUUGCAGGAGCAGGCUGUGAUUGGGCUGUUGUGGACGUGCCUGAUGAAUGCUGUGGAGUGGAACAAGAAGGAGGAGCUGGUCACAGAGCAGGCACUCAAACACCUCAAACACUAUGCUCCUCUGCUGGCGGUGUUCAGCACUCAGGGUCAGUCUGAGCUGGUGCUGCUCCUGAAGAUCCAGGAGUACUGCUACGACAACAUCCACUUCAUGAAGUCCUUCUCUAAGAUAGUGGUGCUCUUCUACAAAGCUGAUGUACUGAGCGAGGAGGCCAUCUUGAAGUGGUACAAAGAUGCCCAUGGUGCCAAAGGGAAGAGUGUCUUCUUGGAACAGAUGAAGAAGUUUGUUGAAUGGCUCCAGAAUGCUGAAGAAGAGUCGGAGUCAGAGGGGGAGGAGGGCUAGAGGAGGAGCAGUAGGAGUUUCUGUAGUCUGCAUCCUGUAGCCUGAAUGACAGCGUAGCAGCUAGUUAACAUGUAGAGUCCAUCUCCCCACCUGAGGCAGCCAAACACCGUCAGAUAACCAGAGAGUUUCUGAACACUGGACCAGAGGGCCUUAUUGACAUCCAUCCAUCUGAGCACAGACUCCAUCUAUAACAUUGUCCAGGAAAAGUUAGACCUACUGCUGCUGGGCGACCAUCUACUCCAGCGGGGAAUUAUUUUUGUCUUUUUUAUUUCUGGAAUGCAGAUAUUUAUUUAACUGUAGUUUUGAAGGAUUUGUUGUAUUUAUUUGUUUACCAAGAUGGGUUGCGCUGGAUUCACCUGCUCCAAACACUCCCUGUGCGCGCUCAACAUCCUCUAUGUAGUUCCAACAAGCAGAGUACACCUGCUGCAGAAACGACCUGAACCAGGGGCGGAUAUUUACUGGGUGUCCAGAGGAUGGCUUUAAGGGAUGGCAGAAAUAUGUGCUGAUUUAAUCUGAAACAUUCACAUAUAUCAAUAUUUGCUUGGAAACCCCCCCAAAUGAAUAUAUUCAAACUCAAAAACAUUAUUGUGGAACAUUAGUAAAGCAUUGAAUAGAAAUAUAUAAAGGUGGCAUUAGAAAUCAAUAUACUGUUUUAUUUCCACAAACUUUUUUCAUUGAAUUUAAGACUCUCUUUGAGUCUAAACUGGCUCGUGGUGCUCAAAGCACCAAAAAAGAUACAUUUAGAAAGCUCAACACUAAUGUCUAUUUACAGAAUUCAUGACCCGGUAGCCUACCCAAUAUGAGACCUUGCUGUGAGCAGUUAAUAACGAUGUUCUUGUGUUAUGUAUUUUUCAUUUUGGGGUAAACUGUCCCAUUAACAGACAGUUUGAUAUCUUGGCCUCUGCUGCAGUUUUGACCAUUAGUUUUUUAAUCUUUCUACAAACUUUUCUUAAAAGUGUAAAGUUAAAUUGCUCUAGUAGCAUGUUAAAGGUAGAAACCACUCUCUUUAUUUGAAUAACUAUUAGCUUUAACUCAUGUCAAGAAUGUGUUUUUGCACAGGAAGGGGGCUUUCAGGAAUGAAAGGGAUAACUUAGUACGGACACAAGGAAUGAUGAUAGCCAACAAUACCUCUUUUAAUGUGACCUGAUAUAAAGAUUAAUAAUCAUACAAUAGUCCUCUAUACAUGGAUGUGUAUUUUUGUUAUUUAGGGAAAGAAACAUACAUUGCAGUCUGUGUUUAUGAAUCUGAUUGAAUGAUGAUGAUCUGUACUAAAUAAUAACAUAACAUCUGAACAUUUAAAUCAAGCAACUAAGUACUUUACUUAAGUACAUUUUGAGGUACUUUACUUAAAGAUCCCCACCAGACAUGUAUAACGACACAUAUACAAGUAGUCUGCUUGGAACAAUAAUGUGUCUGAUAUGCUUUUUCUACAAAAAAAGUAUAAAUUCCACAUCAAAAUCCUUAAAAAGUGAUCUACUCCUUCUACCUCAUUAAAAUUCCAGAAUCUCUGAAUAUGUAAAUGUUAAUUUCAAACAUUUUCCUGCUGAACACAAGAAGUCUCCUCCUUCACUGUAAAGUCCAUUCUCAGUGGAUGUGCACUGGUGGCUUCAAGUUUCUACAUCACACUGUACAAGUUGAUACUGGACCAGGACUGACUUCCUGCUGGUAGGCCCCGCCCCUUAAAAUCAGAUUUUCAGUGAGCACAGAGAAACUUUCCACUUUCAACAGAUGAAUGUGAAAACAUCCUUCUAGUGUCAAACUCUGCACAUACAUCAUUCAAACAGCGCACUGUAAGGACAAGAAGAAACAUUGAUUUCUGACUGGAGGAGGAUUUCAAAGAUUUUAAUGUUAUGCUAUUUUGUUAUUUAUUAAGAGAUUCUGAAGGACACAUUUUACUUUAAUGCUUUUUAAGUGAGCAGCUGACUGUGUGCUCCUAAAUCAUUCAGACUGUUGGACAAUGUCCACACACACAGCGUUUAAAGACAUCACAAUAAAGCUUAUUUAGAACCUAGGACAGAAUUUAUAGGAGAUUAAGCUAAUCCAGCUGUUUGUCUUCCUGCUGGGGUUUAAUCCUCAUAUUUCAGCAUUUACACCCAUAUGUUCUUCUACAAACUUUCUGGGGGUUCUUUGCAACAUAGAAACCGAAAUUAAUUAAUCAGGCAGAUUAUUUGGCAUUGUGAAAUAAUAGGCAUCGGCAAAUGACUGUACUCACAAGGCUGAUAAACAAAAAAUGUCUUCAGACACAUCUGCAAGCUGUCUUUUUUCACUCCCCCUUUUUAGGAAGGGGGUUUUGAGCCCUGUACUGUAACUUGGUUAUGGAGCCGUGUGGUAAACAUAUGUCUGAAUGUCCUAUAGAAUAGAAUUUUAAUAUUGGCAUUCUAUAUAGUCACUACUAUUAGUGUAGUUGUUGCUACUGUUGUUGCUGUGCAGCUUUGUCUCUGUCUCUCUCUCUGUCUCUCUCUCUGUCUCUCUCUCUCUCUCUCUCUCUCUCUCUCUCUCUCUCUCUCUCUCUCUCUCACACCCCCCCAACUGGUCGAGGCAGACGACCACCCACCUAGAGCCGAGGGGUCUAUCCUAUGUUUCUGCCUCCUUGUCGCCGUCACCAAGUGCUUGCUCAUGGUGGUACUGUUGGGUCUCUGUAAAUAAUGUUAUAAGGAGUUCGGUCUAGACCUGCUCUAUUUGAAAAGUGUCCUGAGAUAACUUCUGUUAUGAAUUGGCGCUAUACAGAUGAAAUUGAAUUGAAUUGAAUAUUGGCCAUUAAAAACCCAUAUUGGUCGACCACUAAUAGAAACUUUCAAAAUAUUCAGGUGACUUGGGAAUGGUGUCACUACUUUUCUCAUUUAUACCUUUCACACUUUCUGAAACAUUCCAGGUUUUCCUGGGGGAAAAAUCCUCAUUUAAAGCUGCAGUAGGUACAUUUUCAUAAAAAUAACUUGUUGUCAUGUUUGCUGAAACUUUUACUAUACCCUGACAGUAGUACAGGAGACAAACUGAAUGGCAUUUGCUAGGAUCCACCGGGCCUGAAUGAAAACAACCAAACAGAAGUGAGAAAGAUAGCUGAUUGUUGAGUUUCAUAUCAGGGCAUCAUAUAUUUUAGUACCCUGGGAAUGAGACUCAACAAUCAACUAUCUUCAAGCUUCUAACCCAAAGCAUCUUCCUUGGCUCUGAUUGGUUGUUUUCGAUCAUGCCCUGUGAAUUCUUGCAAAUGCCAUUAGGAGCACUAGGAGGAGCCAGAGGAACCUGAUUUUUUCACAGACUAUCUGUCUUGUGUACUACUUUCACAACACAGUGAAAAUUUUAGGAAUAAUGACAAAAAGUUAUUUUUAUAAAAGUUACCUACUGCAGCUUUAAAAUAAUGGACGGAAUGUCCAUAAUUCUCACAUUUUUACAGUUUCCAACCCCAUUUUUUUAAUUCAUAACUACUCAUUCAUCUUUCCAUUAGAAACAACAUUGAAACUCUCAAAUGUUCCACAUCUUUCAGAUAUUGUAUAUAAAUAUUAUUCAACUUUCAAAUACCAUUCAACAUUUUAAAAUAUUCAACUUUAUUGAAGUUUAUAGAAGACAAUUAGAAAGACCUUCAAAUCCAC